CCAAGGCAGUGAAAAGAAGUACUUGGUCAAGAAACUUUAAAGAUGACUUAACACAGCUGGAGAAGAUAAGAGAAGAACAUCUGAUUAGAGUCAUAGAGGAGUUUUGGUGGUAGCAAUGGGAUCCGAAGUUUCGAGGACAAUGAGGAACACAGGUGUCAGUACCCACUGAAGCCUUUGAGUUCUGUCUUUCUCACCAUUUUGGAGAGCCAUGGGUUCCCUACAGCAAAGUUGUAGGUGAGAAAUGAGAAGAAUGAAGGUCGAUGGCAAGGUCACCAGCAAAGGGACAAGGGAAAAUCAGAAGAUAAAGCUGAUUGCUGACUCACCCUCUUGCACCUAUGAGACCUCAGGUCGUGUUAACCCAGAUAUGAAACUCAGUCGUUUAUUGCAGCUCACAAAAUAAAAAAUCUGCUAAGACCUAUAUGCAGGUCACCACCACAGUAUGGCUUUGAUGAGUGGUGUAAGUCCAUGCCUAGGAU